GAUAUAUGGUCAAGUGAAUAAGGGCAUACGGUGGAUGCCUUGGCGGAAACAGGCGAUGAAGGACGUGGG
rnacentral:rRNA from 1 species